rnacentral:lncRNA from 1 species
AGUAAAUGACGUCACAUGGUUACAAACAAAAGAAAUAUCUCAAGAACUAAGCAUGGGAACAAAAAUCUUCACAACAAGUUAUUAUACAGUUUUACGAGCACUUUCGUUUAAGAAAAUAAAAUUUUUGAUGAUACUGCAAAUACACGUUGUGUUAUAUUAAGUUACCUAAAUUAAUUAUAUACCCAAAUGUUUACAUCAAAUCAACUAGAAAUAAUAUUUAUACCUUAACCACUGAAAAUUACUCAUAAUUAUUUAUAAUAAAUUAAUGCAAUUCCGAAAAUUAAGUGUUAAAAUCAUGAUUUUAUUAGUCAAAGCACGAUUUUAACACACAUAAAAACACAUUUAAGAUUAUUAAUCAAAACAUGAUUCUAAAACACUCAAUUUUCGGAAUUGCAUUCAUUUCGUAAUAGUAUGGCUUCGAGUGCAAUUUGGAAAGCAUGCACGAAUGGCCUUUUAAAGACGAUCAAAAUUUGUUUUUUCCAAAUUGCAUGGGAAACCAUACUAUUACUUAUACUAAUAAUGUACAUGAAAAAAAUAUGCAGUCAUUUCCAUGCCUGAAACUCACUCAUAUGAAUGACACAACAACUUGUAAUAGAUUUUUUUCUGUGUUGGUACCGGUGUUGUGU